GAGUUUGAUCGUGGCUCAGACUGAACGCUGGCGGCAUGCCUUACACAUGCAAGUCGAACGGCAGCAUGAUCUAGCUUGCUAGAUUGAUGGCGAGUGGCGAACGGGUGAGUAAUACAUCGGAACGUGCCCUGUAGUGGGGGAUAACUAGUCGAAAGAUUAGCUAAUACCGCAUACGACCUGAGGGUGAAAGUGGGGGACCGCAAGGCCUCAUGCUAUAGGAGCGGCCGAUGUCUGAUUAGCUAGUUGGUGGGGUAAAGGCCCACCAAGGCGACGAUCAGUAGCUGGUCUGAGAGGACGAUCAGCCACACUGGGACUGAGACACGGCCCAGACUCCUACGGGAGGCAGCAGUGGGGAAUUUUGGACAAUGGGGGCAACCCUGAUCCAGCAAUGCCGCGUGUGUGAAGAAGGCCUUCGGUUGUAAG
rnacentral:rRNA from 1 species